rnacentral:rRNA from 1 species
AGGACCAGUAUCAACGGCAUCACGAGGAUCCUACUGUUCUCCCCCCUCUAAUCAGUGAAACUGAUCUCUCCGUGAAGAAGCGGGGAUGAAUCUAUAAGACGAGAAGACCCCNUGGAGCUUUAAACCCGACAGCACCCGCUUACUUUAUACCUAAUUAUAUGCCCGUUGCCUGUCUGCUCGGUUUUAGGUUGGGGUGACCACGGAGUACAAAAUAACCUCCNUGAAAAAGGGGAUAAAUACCCUUAUUANAGAACAACACUUCCAAAAACUAACAAAUUAAUUUCUAA